rnacentral:misc_RNA from 1 species
GAUGAAGAACGUAGCGAAAUGCGGUAAGUAAUGUGAAUUGCAGAAUUCAGUGAAUCAUCGAAUCUUUGAACGCACAUUGCGCCCAUUAGUAUUCUAGUGGGCAUGCCUGUUCGAGCGUCAUUAAGUCCACUUAAGCCCUGCUUAGUGUUGGGAGACUGCUCCAGCGGUGCUACCCUGUAGCUACCCUGCAGCUCCUCAAAGACAGCGGCGGAGUUGUGGUAUCCUCUGAGCUUAGUAACUUGUUCUAGCUUUCGAGUACACCACUUCCCCUGCCGUAAAACCCUUAAUUUUUAAUGGUUGACCUCGGAUCAGGUAGGAAUACCCGCUGAACUUAAGCAUAUCAAUAAGCGGAGGA